CGGCACGGGUGAGUAACACGUAUCCAACCUGCCGUCUACUCUUGGACAGCCUUCUGAAAGGAAGAUUAAUACAAGAUGGCAUCAUGAGUCCACAUGUUCACAUGGUUAAAGGUAUUCCGGUAGACGAUGGGGAUGCGUUCCAUUAGAUAGUAGGCGGGGUAACGGCCCACCUAGUCUUCGAUGGAUAGGGGUUCUGAGAGGAAGGUCCCCCACAUUGGAACUGAGACACGGUCCAA
rnacentral:rRNA from 1 species